AGUGAACGCUGGCGGUAGGCCUAACACAUGCAAGUCGAACGGCAGCACAGAGGAGCUUGCUCCUUGGGUGGCGAGUCGCGGACGGGUGAGGAAUACAUCGGAAUCUACUCUGUCGUGGGGGAUAACGUAGGGAAACUUACGCUAAUACCGCAUACGACCUACGGGUGAAAGCAGGGGACCUUCGGGCCUUGCGCGAUUGAAUGAGCCGAGGUCGGAUUAGCUAGUUGGCGGGGUAAAGGCCCACGAAGGCGACGAUCCGUAGCUGGUCUGAGAGGAUGAUCAGCCACACUGGAACUGAGACACGGUCCAGACUCCUACGGGAGGCAGCAGUGGGGAAUAUUGGACAAUGGGCGCAAGCCUGAUCCAGCCAUACCGCGUGGGUGAAGAAGGCCUUCGGGUUGUAAAGCCCUUUUGUUGGGAAAGAAAUCCAGCUGGCUAAUACCCGGUUGGGAUGACGGUACCCAAAGAAUAAGCACCGGCUAACUUCGUGCCAGCCGCCGCCGUAA
rnacentral:rRNA from 1 species